AUUGAACGCUGGCGGCAUGCCUUACACAUGCAAGUCGAACGGUAACAGGUCUUCGGAUGCUGACGAGUGGCGAACGGGUGAGUAACGCAUCGGAACGUGCCCAGUCGUGGGGGAUAACGCAGCGAAAGCUGCGCUAAUACCGCAUACGAUCUAUGGAUGAAAGCGGGGGACCGAAAGGCCUCGCGCGAUUGGAGCGGCCGAUGUCAGAUUAGGUAGUUGGUGGGGUAAAGGCUCACCAAGCCAACGAUCUGUAGCUGGUCUGAGAGGACGACCAGCCACACUGGGACUGAGACACGGCCCAGACUCCUACGGGAGGCAGCAGUGGGGAAUUUUGGACAAUGGGCGCAAGCCUGAUCCAGCAAUGCCGCGUGCAGGAAGAAGGCCUUCGGGUUGUAAACUGCUUUUGUACGGAACGAAACGGUCCGGGUUAAUACCCUGGGCUAAUGACGGUACCGUAAGAAUAAGCACCGGCUAACUACGUGCCAGCCGCCGCAGUAACAC
rnacentral:rRNA from 1 species